rnacentral:lncRNA from 1 species
AUGAGAAAUAUGAAUGUUGUCCCCUGCUCCACCGCAUGGUGCUUAUUUGAAGAUGCAGGGGUAGCUCCAGUAACCUCUGUUAGUAACAAGUCACCAGCUGAGCUGCACCGAUGGACCAGUACGUCCUGGCGAUCGUCCCUUGGACCGUUUGCUCCUUCGCAUUGUGCGGGUGGGACCUGGACGUGUACCUGUGCUACGUGCCUGCCCUUGGGUAGCCGAGCAGCUAAGGCAGCUCGGUACGUGGCAUGCCGUAAGCAGCUCCCCAGCAGUGCUGUCACUUGCAGAGAGGACCAGAGCUGGUGCACUGGGAACUCGCUGAGGGGAGGAUGGGGCCCUCAGGAAACCUCCCAGGACCAUCACCAAGGGCGAUGUCCUCCAGGAUGCCCUCUCCUAUGUGAUGUCUUGCGUGUCCCCACUAAGGCUUUGUCACGGGAGCGGAGUCACGGCGUGAUUAUGCAAGGGACAGGACACGCUUCACACAAAAAGUCUGCGGCCAGGAGGUGCCCGAGGCCGUGUCCCCUCCAGGGGCUGCACUGA